CCCCCCCCCCCCCCCCCCCCCCCCCCCCCCCCCCCCCCCCCCCCCCCCCCCCCCCCCCCCCCCCCUCCCUGGGAUCAGGAGUGGAGGAAAUUUGGGGUCCCUGGGGCCAGGAAGGAGGAAAUUUGGGAUCCCUGGGGUCAGGAAUUGGGGCUGGGUCACAUCUGGGAUCCCUGGGAUCAGGAGUGGAGGAAAUUUGGGGUCCCUGGGGUCAGGAGUGGAGGAAAUUUGGGAUCCCUGGGAUCAGGAAUUGGGGCUGGGUCACAUCUGGGAUCCCCGGGAAAUGCCGGGGGCUGGGGCCGUACCUCCGUGAGGAGCUGUACUCCCGACCUGCAGGGAAACACAAACAUCAACUCCCAAAAUCCCAUUUUUUCCAGCAUUUUUACACCCCAAAAUCCCACAGCUUUGUUUCCCCCAAAAUCCCAUUUUCCACAAUUUUUUUCCCAUUUUUCCCCUCAUUUUUCCCUCAUUUUUUCCACAUUUUUCCACAUUUUUCCACCCCAAAAUCCCACAGCUUUGCCUCCCCCAAAAUCCCAUUUCUCCCCAUUUUUCCAGCAUUUCUCCAGCCCAAAAUCCCACAGCUUUGCUUUGCCUCCUCCAAAAUCUCUGGUUUCCCCCAUUUUUUCCCCAUUUUUUCCCAUUUUUCCCAUUUUUUCCACAUCUUUCCACAUUUUCUCCCAAUUUUUCCCAUUUUUUCCCAUCCCAAAAUCCCACAGCUUUGCCUCCCUCAAAAUCCCUUUUCCCCCCAUUUUUUCCCAUUUUCCCCCUAUUUUCCCCCAUUUUUUCCUAUUUUUCCCAUUUUUCCCCAUUUUUCCAGCCCAAAAUCUCUCCCCUUUGCCUCCCCCACCCCUGGAAAAGCAGGAAUGGCUCCUGGAUUUUUGGGAAUCCCCCAGAAUGUUGGGAAUGGCUCCCAGAAUUUUGGGGAUUUUCAGAGAUUUUUAGGAAUUUGGGGGGAUUUGGAGGACCCCCCCCCCCCCCCCCCCCCCCCCCCCCCCCCCCCCCCCCCCCCCCCCCCCCCCCCCCCCCCCC
rnacentral:lncRNA from 1 species